rnacentral:rRNA from 1 species
AGAGUUUGAUCAUGGCUCAGGAUGAACGCUGGCGGCGCGCUUAACACAUGCAAGUCGAACGAAGCGCUUGAAUGGAAUUCUUCGGAAGGAAGCUCAAGUGACUGAGUGGCGGACGGGUGAGUAACGCGUGGGUAACCUGCCUCAUACAGGGGGAUAACAGUUAGAAAUGACUGCUAAUACCGCAUAAGCACACGUGAUCGCAUGAUCGAGUGUGAAAAACUCCGGUGGUAUGAGAUGGACCCGCGUCUGAUUAGCUAGUUGGUGGGGUAAUGGCCCACCAAGGCGACGAUCAGUAGCCGGCCUGAGAGGGUGAACGGCCACAUUGGGACUGAGACACGGCCCAAACUCCUACGGGAGGCAGCAGUGGGGAAUAUUGCACAAUGGGGGAAACCCUGAUGCAGCGACGCCGCGUGAAGGAUGAAGUAUUUCGGUAUGUAAACUUCUAUCAGCAGGGAAGAAAAUGACGGUACCUGACUAAGAAGCCCCGGCUAACUACGUGCCAGCAGCCGCGGUAAUACGUAGGGGGCAAGCGUUAUCCGGAUUUACUGGGUGUAAAGGGAGCGUAGACGGCAGUGCAAGUCUGAAGUGAAAGCCCGGGGCUCAACCCCGGGACUGCUUUGGAAACUGUGCAGCUAGAGUGUCGGAGAGGCAAGCGGAAUUCCUAGUGUAGCGGUGAAAUGCGUAGAUAUUAGGAGGAACACCAGUGGCGAAGGCGGCUUGCUGGACGAUGACUGACGUUGAGGCUCGAAAGCGUGGGGAGCAAACAGGAUUAGAUACCCUGGUAGUCC